rnacentral:rRNA from 1 species
UACGGAGGGGCUAGCGUUGUUCGGAAUUACUGGGCGUAAAGCGCGCGUAGGCGGACCUGCAAGUCGGGGGUGAAAGCCCGAGGCUCAACCUCGGAACUGCCUUCGAUACUGCGGGUCUCGAGUCCGGGAGAGGUGAGUGGAAUUCCUAGUGUAGAGGUGAAAUUCGUAGAUAUUAGGAAGAACACCAGUGGCGAAGGCGGCUCCACUGGCCGGUACUGACGCUGAGGCGCGAAAGCGUGGGGAGCAAACAGG